rnacentral:rRNA from 1 species
AGCGUAAGCUAGUAAGACCCCUGAGAGACGAUCAGGUUGAUAGGGCAGAGGUGGAAGCAUGGUAACAUGUGGAGCUGACUGUUACUAAUCGGUCGAGGGCUUGACCAAG